rnacentral:rRNA from 1 species
UACGUAGGGCGCAAGCGUUGUCCGGAAUUAUUGGGCGUAAAGAGCUCGUAGGUGGCUUGUUGCGUCUGCCGUGAAAGCCCGUGGCUUAACUGCGGGUCUGCGGUGGAUACGGGCAGGCUAGAGGCUGGUAGGGGCAAGCGGAAUUCCUGGUGUAGCGGUGAAAUGCGCAGAUAUCAGGAGGAACACCGGUGGCGAAGGCGGGUCUCUGGGCCGAUACUGACGCUGAGGAGCGAAAGCGUGGGGAGCGAACAGG